rnacentral:rRNA from 1 species
UGGCGGACGGGUGAGUAAUGUCUGGGAAACUGCCCGAUGGAGGGGGAUAACUACUGGAAACGGUAGCUAAUACCGCAUAACGUCGCAAGACCAAAGAGGGGGACCUUCGGGCCUCUUGCCAUCGGAUGAACCCAUAUGGGAUUAGCUUGUAGGUAAGGUAACGGCUUACCUAGGCGACGAUCCCUAGCUGGUCUGAGAGGAUGAUCAGCCACACUGGGACUGAGACACGGCCCAG